rnacentral:tRNA from 1 species
GAUUGGGUAGCUCAGUUGGUAGAGCACUUGCCCGUGAAAGGCAAAGGUCCCGAGUUCGAGUCUCGGUCCGACACA